rnacentral:rRNA from 1 species
UAGGGAAUUUUCCACAAUGGGCGAGAGCCUGAUGGAGCAACGCCGCGUGCAGGAUGAAGGCCUUCGGGUCGUAAACUGCUUUUAUCUGUGACGAAUAUGACGGUAGCAGAAGAAUAAGGACCUGCUAACUACGUGCCAGCAGCCGCGGUCAUACGUAGGGUCCAAGCGUUAUCCGGAAUUACUGGGCGUAAAGAGUUGCGUAGGUGGCAAAGUAAGCAGCUAGUGAAAGCACCCCGCUCAACGGGGUAUACAUUAGCUGAACUGCUUAGCUAGAGGACAAGAGAGGUACUUGGAAUUCCUAGUGUAGGAGUGAAAUCCGUAGAUAUUAGGAGGAACACCAAUGGCGUAGGCAGAGUACUGGCUUGUUCCUGACACUAAGGCACGAAAGCGUGGGUAGCAAACGGGAUUAGAUACCCCUGUAGUCC